rnacentral:rRNA from 1 species
UACGGAAGGCAGCAGUGGGGAAUAUUGCACAAUGGGCGCAAGCCUGAUGCAGCCAUGCCGCGUGUAUGAAGAAGGCCUUCGGGUUGUAAAGUACUUUCAGUCGUGAGGAAGGUGUUAAGGUUAAUAACCUUAGCAAUUGACGUUAGCGACAGAAGAAGUACCGGCUAACUCCGUGCCAGCAGCCGCGGUAAUACGGAGGGUGCGAGCGUUAAUCGGAAUUACUGGGCGUAAAGGGCACGCAGGCGGUUAAUUAAGUUGGAUGUGAAAUCCCCGGGCUUAACCUGGGAAUGGCAUUCAAGACUGGUUAGCUAGAGUCUUGUAGAGGGGGUAGAAUUCCAUGUGUAGCGGUGAAAUGCGUAGAGAUGUGGAGGAAUACCGGUGGCGAAGGCGGCCCCUGGACAAAGACUGACGCUCAUGUGCGAAAGCGUGGGGAGCAAACAGGGAUUAGAUACC